UAUCCAAAAUGCAUGAUAUGCUUUUGCCAGUGUUGUCUCUGUUCAAGUUUCGUUUGGAUGCUCCACGUAUCCACAUAGGCGUCAUCAAGUCAUGGGCUGUGGCUUCAAUCCCCGGAUUUUUUGUUUGCAUGUGCUGUGCUGCUAUGAAGCAUUGUUUAGCAAACAAUGUUUUGGGAAUUUCUUCCCGUAUCCAGCACGUGUUCCCACC